rnacentral:rRNA from 1 species
AUUGAACGCUGGCGGCGUGGAUUAGGCAUGCAAGUCGAGCGAGAACCCCGCAAGGGGGGACAGCGGCGCAAGGGACAGUAAUGUGUAGAUCAUCUGCCCUCAGGUCCGGGAUAGCUGCGGGAAACUGCAGGUAAUACCGGAUAACAUCUCCGGAUCAAAGGUGUGAUUCCGCCUGAGGAUGAGUCUGCAUCCUAUUAGCUAGUUGGCAGGGUAACGGCCUACCAAGGCAUUGAUGGGUAGCGGGUGUGAGAGCACGACCCGCGUCAUUGGGACUGAGACACUGCCCAGACACCUACGGGUGGCUGCAGUCGAGAAUCUUCGGCAAUGGGCGCAAGCCUGACCGAGCGACGCCGCGUGUGGGAUGAAGGCCUUCGGGUUGUAAACCACUGUCAGAGGGGAUGAAAUGCAGGUGGGUUCUCCCAUCUGUUUGACAUAGCCUCAGAGGAAGGACGGGCUAAGUUCGUGCCAGCCGCCGCGGUAACAC